GAUGAACGCUGGCGGCGUGCUUAACACAUGCAAGUCGAACGAGAAGUUUUGAAAAGAUUCUUCGGAUGAAAUUUAAAAUGGAAAGCGGCGGACGGGUGAGUAACGCGUAGGCAACCUGCCCCAUACAAAGGGAUAGCAUUUGGAAACGAAUAUUAAUACCUUAUGAAACUUAACUAGUGCAUGCUAGGUAGGUCAAAGAUUUAUCGGUAUGGGAUGGGCCUGCGUCUGAUUAGCUAGUUGGUGAGGUAACGGCUCACCAAGGCGACGAUCAGUAGCCGACCUGAGAGGGUGAACGGCCACAUUGGAACUGAGACACGGUCCAAACUCCUACGGGAGGCAGCAGUGGGGAAUAUUGCACAAUGGGGGAAACCCUGAUGCAGCAACGCCGCGUGAACGAUGAAGGCCUUUGGGUCGUAAAGUUCUGUUCUAGGUGAUGAAAACUGACAGUAACCUAGGAGAAAGCCCCGGCUAACUCCGUG
rnacentral:rRNA from 1 species